AGAGGGAGGAAGGAAAAAGUCUUUUGUCUCUUCGGUGUGUGCUUUUGCCGGAGUCAGAGAUCCAGAAAACAACCAUCUAACCCUUGUUUAAAUUAGUCUGCACAUCCCAUUAUGUGAACACAAGCGCUAUUGUAAAGACGAUUGCAUGAAGAAAAGCUAAUGGAUAUUUUAUCUUCCCAAAUAAGAUCUAAAUGCCAGUUUUUAUUUUAUUUACAUUAUUUGGGAGCUUUACCUGAGGAAUGGAAGAAGAGGAUGGAACUAGAGCAAGGAAUGGAAAAAACUUCAGUUGUGGAAAGUUAAGGAUGGACAUAAAAAAGAGACUGGAGGAAGACUGAUGCCAUAAAGGCAGGAAGGCUCUGCCUCAGACAGCCACUCAGGAAGACUGUACCGUUGCUAAGCAACUGUACCAUGAGGAUUCCUGAAUGGAGAACCAUUGAUUUACUGUGAUGUUCAGAUCUUACACAGCAAGAAAGACUGGAAGACAAGAAUUUUUAAGACAAUUAAUUUAGAUUCAGGAAGCAAGGAGGAGUAAGCAGUGUCGAUGGGGGAGCCGCGCCAGUCAACUUGCCGCCGUGAAGAUGGCCAGGUAAGUCGAACUAAGAUACUUCGACUUCAGCUACACAAAUAGCAUAGCUGAAGUUGUGUAUCUUAGUUUAACCCCCCCCACUAGUGUAGCUCAGGCCUUAGACACUUGAGCAAUGCUGCCUGGUGUGAGAAAUGAUAUAUUGAAAAGCCUGUUUUCAAGAAGGGACAAAUCUGGUUUUGGAAACUGCAUCUUUCUUUCCUUUUCAUUCCCACUUCCUGAACAACCUUUUGGUAUAGGAAAUAAAGCAAACAUGAGGAAAAGAAGAUUUAUCAGGAGAAACUGCAGCACAGUGGAUGGGGGAGCAAAGGAAGAUGAAGUGGGUGUAGAACUACUCUUCCAUGGUUCAAGUCAGAACUAGAUGGUAAGUAUCAAUCAAUAUCAAUUACGGGGCCUCACCGAGCAAACUGAAGCACAAUAUCCACUAUAGGUCUACCCUAGAUCCCAUUUUCUUCAGUGUAUAUGAGGCCUUUUGCAGAGGUCAUUUGAAAACUGAGGACAGUUAGCUAGUGAUAUAUAAUUGCGGUGUAGGCUCUACACAUUCAGUCUCCAACCAGGAGGAAUGCUAGUAUGAUACAGCGGCUGAGCGCGUUGGAGUGGAUUUGCUCCUGGGAGAGGGGAGAGUCGCUGGUAGGUUAAGUUUUGCAGUAUGAGGAUGUGCUCUCUUCUUUCAUGCAUGCGUUUAUCAAAAGGAUUUGUCUGGAAAUGGUUGGUGUCACUUUCACUCACGACCAUGCUAAAUGUGGUAUGAAAGGUAUCUUCUCCCCCACACUCCAUUUGCUCAGGCUGCGUCAUUCUUCACCCUAUGAUAACCUCAUAAUAGCAACACAUUCUCUGUGACUACAGGCUCAUUACUAUAUUCUCCUCCAAGAAAAGAUUUUACCAAGACUCACUAUUUGUUCAGAAUGGGGCAGCAGGUCUACAAAUUGAUUUGAACAACUAAAAUCAUAUUAUACCCACUCUGCCUUCUGCUUAUAAAGUCUCAGACUGACUAACUUGGUGGUGGUGUUUUUUUAAAGUCCUUAAUGGGGUAGGCCCUAGCUCUGUUUGAGAUCUUCCUUGAGAAUCUUCUCAAUAGAUAUAUACGGUCACAUACCUUUCAGGGAUUCAACCAUUGCACAUUAGGUGGAUGGGGAAUCAUACCUUUGCUUUGGGGAGUCCAAGAGCUCAUUCUAGUCUUCCAUCUCAGUCCAUUUCUCCCCAUUAAAAAACAGUUUUUUAGUAUGCUGGGCCUUUUUACUUUCUCCUAUUCACUUCCCCCCCACACCACCACCAUUGGUACUGGGCAUUCUCAACCAGUUUUAGUUGUUUCAAUGUUGGAGAUGUUAAAAUGAUCUAUAAAUAAAAGUUUCUGUUGUUAUAUAGCACUCUGGAUGCAUUCAUGGGGAUGGGGAGGAAGUGCUAUGUUAAUAAGAUGAUUAUGAUAAUUAAUCAACCAAAAGUCACAUUGCAAAAAAAUAGAUACUGGGC